UACGAAGGGGACUAGCGUUGUUCGGAAUCACUGGGCGUAAAGCGCACGUAGGCGGAUGUGUCAGUCAGGGGUGAAAUCCCGGGGCUCAACCUCGGAACUGCCUUUGAUACAGCACGUCUCGAGUCCGGAAGAGGUGGGUGGAAUUCCUAGUGUAGAGGUGAAAGUUCGUAGAUAUUGGGAAGAACACCGGUGGCGAAGGCGGCUCUCUGGACCGAGACUGACGCUGAGGCGCGGAAAGCGUGGGGAGCAAACAGG
rnacentral:rRNA from 1 species